AGUGAACGCUGGCGGUAGGCCUAACACAUGCAAGUCGAACGGCAGCACAGUAAGAGCUUGCUCUUACGGGUGGCGAGUGGCGGACGAGUGAGGAAUACAUCGGAAUCUACUUUUUCGUGGGGGAUAACGUAGGGAAACUUACGCUAAUACCGCAUACGACCUACGGGUGAAAGCAGGGGAUCUUCGGACCUUGCGCGAUUGAAUGAGCCGAUGUCGGAUUAGCUAGUUGGCGGGGUAAAGGCCCACCGAGGCGACGAUCCGUAGCUGGUCUGAGAGGAGGAUCAGCCACACUGGAACUGAGACACGGUCCAGACUCCUAUGGGAGGCAGCAGUGGGGAAUAUUGGACAAUGGGCGCAAGCCUGAUCCAGCCAUACCGCGUGGGUGAAGAAGGCCUUCGGGUUGUAAAGCCCUUUUGUUGGGAAAGAAAAGCAGCAGGUUAAUACCCCGCUGUUCUGACGGUACCCAAAGAAUAAGCACCGGCUAACUUCGUG
rnacentral:rRNA from 1 species